UGGAUUCCUAGUUCUACUUACAAUGGGGUCCUUUUCCUGAAGGGAAUAGCCUAGUUUGAUCCUAGUCUCUUGAGAUAAUUGUCCCUGAAAACCCAGGAUAUGAUGUCAACUCAGUUAAACUUUUUUGAUCCUAACUGUCCAGAAAUAAGUUAAAAAUGGAUGUUUAUACUUUGCUGUUAAGUAGGUCAAAAAACUGCAGAGCAAUUUAGCCUUAUAUGGAUCAGAGAAAUAAUUGCAAGCACAUAGGUUAACAAGAAAUUAAAGGCAGGAAAUCUUUGGCUAGGAGUGUAAUGUACUUUCUUUUUAGAAAAGACAGUGCAUCCUGAGGAUUCUGCAUUAGUUUUCUUUCCACUUCCAGGGUUGAAAGGCUGAUGGGCAUAGAGCUAGUGGCUUUAUGGCAUAUGGGCUGGCUCCAAGCCUUUCCUGGGGGAGCCUGGUGCACCGGUUUCUCCAGUAACGUGAAACCUUAUUAAUUUGUAAGGGGUGAUAAUCAAAACUGUAACUCAGCUGAAACUUGCCUAUGUGUUAUGCAAAGAAAGGGCCAGAAAUUAAUGAUAUGAGCCAGAGAGCUGAGAGAAUGUUCAAAAGAGCAAACAUUUUAAGCUCUCUCAGCUCCUAUAGAAACAUUUAUUUAUGUGGAAACAGCUGACCUGCUAAUUAGAAAACAUCCUUGCCUAUUCAUUAAACCAAUUAUCCUGAGGAAUUCUGCUAAGCAACACUUAGUCCAGUUCUAAUUAUUGUGUGUCCUUGAAAGCAAUAAACUGUACUUUUAGAAUAAAAUGUUAUAAUGUAGGCAUAUACAUGGUUUACUCAGACAUUUCCCAUAAUUGGAGUGAGAUAGUAAUGAGGGGUUAUGCUUGUUUCUUAUAAAAAGAAUUUAACCACCUUCUCUUCAUAGGGAGAUUAGUGAAUUAUUAGAUAAUUUUUUUUUUAAGAGUUUCGCUCUUGUUGCCCAGG
rnacentral:lncRNA from 10 species